AGCAGGGAAUACUGGACUGGACAUGACCUCAGGUGUGCCCAGAUGGGGAAGAGGCCACUGGACCCUGGGCUGUGCCAGCUCUGGGCCCCUCCUGCCAGGAGAGACCUGGAGGGGCUGGAGCCUGUCCAGGGAAGGGAAUGGAGCUGGGAAGGGAAUGGAGCCCCAGGAGAGGCUGAGGGAGCUGGGAAGGGGCUCAGCCUGGAGAAAAGGAGGCUCAGGGGGGACCUUGUGGCUCUGCACAACUCCCUGACAGGAGGGGACAGCCAGGGGGGUUCAGGCUCUGCUCCCAGGGAACAGGGACAGGACAAGGGGAAAUGGCCUCAGGCUGGGCCAGGGCAGGCUCAGGUUGGACAUCAGGAGGAAUUUGUGCAUGUGAAGGGUGGUCAGGCCUUGGCAGGGGCUGCCCAGGGAGGUGGAGAUGUCCAGGGAAGGGAAGGCCUGGAUGUGACACUCGUGCUCUGGGCUGGGGACAAGGUGGGGAUUUGGCACAGCCUGGCCUGGAGGUCUUUUCCAACAUGAAGGAUUCUGUGAUUCUGUGUAUUUAUUUGAGUUCUCGUGCCCUGAUGAUGACAUCAGGGAAAAAAAUCAAAAAAAAAGCCAGAGGAGUAUCUGGAGUUCAGAGCUCCUGCUCUGGUGUCCAGGGUGCUUGGAGCACAGAACACGCUGUGGACACCCCUGCUAAGAGGACAACGUUGUAGGGCAGCAGGUGGAGCAAGUUCAACCUUUUCUGUUCCUCCUCAGACUCUGCCCUGAGCAUCUGGGGCUGUUUAACAGCUCCCUUGGGGCUCUUGUCCUUGCACAAGUUUGGGUUCCAGACACUCACAAAGCAGGGGAGCUGGAGGUGUCCAGAGACUGGGAGGGUCUGUGCUGUGUGGGAGCUCAUCCUUCAUGGAAUGGUGGUCCCAGAACCUCCUCAGAUGGCCUGGCCUGUGCCCACGCCCAGCAGCAGAGCCCCCAGCCCUGCCUUGGCUGGGGAAGGAGCUGGAGAACACAGAGCAGCUUGUUCCCAGUGGCCCUGGGAUGACAAAGGCCCUUCCAUCCCCACGGCACCACGGGCUGGGCCCUGCUCUGUGAGGCUGUGGAUCAGUGUCCUCUGGGGAUCAGGACAGAAGAUCCUGGGAAGGAUGUGGGAGCUGUUCCACCUCUGCCUGGACAUCUCCAAAUCUCCCAGUCCUGCAGCAAUGGUCUCUUGAUUGAGCCACCAAGACCAAAGUUGUCUUUGUCCUUGGCCAGGCAUCUCCUGAGGAAUUGCUUCCCUCAUGGGAUAACCUUUAACAAUUUGACACAAGGGCCAGCCUUACACAGCAGACAGAAAACAUUUUGUCUUGCUUGCAGAGGGAUGUGUGAGAUUCUCAGGAGGAAUUUCUGCAUGGAAAGGGUGCUCAGGCCUUGGCAGGGGCUGCCCAGGGAGGUUUGGAGUGUCUGGAGGUGUCCAAGGAAGGCCUGGACAUGACACUCAGUGCUCUGGGCUGGUGACAAGGUGGGGAUUGGGCACAGCUUGGACUGGAAGAUCUGGGAGGGUUUUUCCAGCCUCAGGAAUUCUGAGAUUCUGUGUGGAAGCACGUCCUCUCCAGGAUCCCAAAGAUAACCUUCCUCGAAGUGUUGAAGUCCAUGAGCAAGCUGCCUGUGACAGAAGGUCCUUGCAAACAGGGGUGUGAACCUCCAGAGCUGACACAGUGUUCCUGGAGCCCCCUGGAGCGUGGUUCCCAGCUGGGCUCAGUGGCAGUGCCUGUGCCAUGGAGCUCCCCACGGGCACUGGAGCUCUCCCCUUCUCUCUGCUCAGUCACAGAGGAAGUGUUUGUGCACUGCUCGAGCAAAGAGCUAAAAAUAACCCCCUGUGUGUGCUGUGUCAGCUCUGCAGCAGAGCCACUGCCGGGGCUCAGGGGACAGGGACACAGGCCAGGGCCCCACUGCCAGCAGGGACAGCAGCCUGCACAGCCAGCAGGGUGGGAAACUAAAACACCAAAUACACCCAGCCCUGUGUCAGA